UUUUUUUUUUUUUUUUUUUUUUUUCCCCCGUAGAAAAACGCGGGGGGCGUGCUUAAAACAUGCAAGUCGAACGAUGAACCUCCUUCGGGAGGGGAUUAGUGGCGAAGGGGUGAGUAACACGUGGGCAAUCUGCCCUGCACUCUGGGACAAGCCCUGGAAACGGGGUCUAAUACCGGAUACGAGUUUUACCGGCAUCGGUGAUUCUGGAAAGCUCCGGCGGUGCAGGAUGAGCCCGCGGCCUAUCAGCUUGUUGGUGAGGUAACGGCUCACCAAGGCGACGACGGGUAGCCGGCCUGAGAGGGCGACCGGCCACACUGGGACUGAGACACGGCCCAGACUCCUACGGGAGGCAGCAGUGGGGAAUAUUGCACAAUGGGCGCAAGCCUGAUGCAGCGACGCCGCGUGAGGGAUGACGGCCUUCGGGUUGUAAACCUCUUUCAGCAGGGAAGAAGCGCAAGUGACGGUACCUGCAGAAGAAGCGCCGGCUAACUACGUGCCAGCAGCCGCGGUAAUACGUAGGGCGCAAGCGUUGUCCGGAAUUAUUGGGCGUAAAGAGCUCGUAGGCGGCUUGUCACGUCGGUUGUGAAAGCCCGGGGCUUAACCCCGGGUCUGCAGUCGAUACGGGCAGGCUAGAGUUCGGUAGGGGAGAUCGGAAUUCCUGGUGUAGCGGUGAAAUGCGCAGAUAUCAGGAGGAACACCGGUGGCGAAGGCGGAUCUCUGGGCCGAUACUGACGCUGAGGAGCGAAAGCGUGGGGAGCGAACAGGAUUAGAUACCCUGGUAGUCCACGCCGUAAACGGUGGGCACUAGGUGUGGGCAACAUUCCACGUUGUCCGUGCCGCAGCUAACGCAUUAAGUGCCCCGCCUGGGGAGUACGGCCGCAAGGCUAAAACUCAAAGGAAUUGACGGGGGCCCGCACAAGCGGCGGAGCAUGUGGCUUAAUUCGACGCAACGCGAAGAACCUUACCAAGGCUUGACAUACACCGGAAAGCGCAAGAGAUAGUGCCCCCCUUGUGGUCGGUGUACAGGUGGUGCAUGGCGUCGUCAGC
rnacentral:rRNA from 1 species